UACAGAGGGUGCAAGCGUUAAUCGGAGUUACUGGGCGUAAAGGGCGCGUAGGCUGGUAUUUAAGUCGGUUGUGAAAUCCCUGGGCUUAACCUAGGAAUUGCAUUCGAUACUGGAUACCUUGAGUAUGGUAGAGGAAAGUGGAAUUCUCGGUGUAGUGGUGAAAUACGUAGAUAUCGAGAAGAACACCGGUGGCGAAGGCGGCUUUCUGGACCAAUACUGACGCUGAGGCGCGAGAGCAUGGGGAG
rnacentral:rRNA from 1 species